UACAGAGGUCCCAAGCGUUGUUCGGAUUCACUGGGCGUAAAGGGUGCGUAGGUGGUUAGGUAAGUCUGAUGUGAAAUCUCUGGGCUCAACCCAGAAACUGCAUUGGAUACUGUCUAGCUAGAGGAGUGGAGGGGGGACUGGAAUACUUGGUGUAGCAGUGAAAUGCGUAGAUAUCAAGUGGAACACCAGUGGCGAAGGCGGUUCUCUGGGAAUGUCCUGACGCUGAGGAGCGAAAGUGUGGGGAGCGAACAGG
rnacentral:rRNA from 1 species